GUCAAAUUAGCAAAGUUAGUGCAAAUAGUUUAGAACUAUUAUAUGAAGGUUAAAUCCAUCAUUUGAU
rnacentral:tRNA from 1 species